AGCGAACGCUGGCGGCAGGCCUAACACAUGCAAGUCGAACAAACCCUUCGGGGUUAGUGGCGGACGGGUGAGUAACACGUGGGAACGUGCCUUUAGGUUCGGAAUAACUCAGGGAAACUUGUGCUAAUACCGAAUGUGCCCUUCGGGGGAAAGAUUUAUCGCCUUUAGAGCGGCCCGCGUCUGAUUAGCUAGUUGGUGAGGUAAUGGCUCACCAAGGCUACGAUCAGUAGCUGGUCUGAGAGGAUGACCAGCCACAUUGGGACUGAGACACGGCCCAAACUCCUACGGGAGGCAGCAGUGGGGAAUCUUGCGCAAUGGGCGAAAGCCCGACGCAGCCAUGCCGCGUGGAUGAUGAAGGUCUUAGGAUUGUAAAAUCCUUUCACCGGUGAAGAUAAUGACUGUAGCCGGAGAAGAAGCCCCGGCUAACUUCGUGCCAGCCGCCGCGGUAACAC
rnacentral:rRNA from 1 species